rnacentral:rRNA from 1 species
ACGUACACUCCUGCGGGAGGCAGCAGUGGGGAAUAUUGCACAAUGGGCGCAAGCCUGAUGCAGCCAUGCCGCGUGUAUGAAGAAGGCCUUCGGGUUGUAAAGUACUUUCAGCGGGGAGGAAGGCGAUAAGGUUAAUAACCUUGUCGAUUGACGUUACCCGCAGAAGAGGCACCGGCUAACUCCGUGCCAGCAGCCGCGGUAAUACGGAGGGUGCAAGCGUUAAUCGGAAUUACUGGGCGUAAAGCGCACGCAGGCGGUCUGUCAAGUCGGAUGUGAAAUCCCCGGGCUCAACCUGGGAACUGCAUUCGAAACUGGCAGGCUAGAGUCUUGUAGAGGGGGGUAGAAUUCCAGGUGUAGCGGUGAAAUGCGUAGAGAUCUGGAGGAAUACCGGUGGCGAAGGCGGCCCCCUGGACAAAGACUGACGCUCAGGUGCGAAAGCGUGGGGAGCAAACAGGAUUAGAUACCCCAGUAGUCC